UUCUGAAAAUGGGUCAAUUCAUUUUUCUUAAUUAUGAUUUAAUUGUGAUUUUAAACUGAUUAUUGGUCAGUGUUAGAAGAAUAAUUGACAAUUGUUCUGCUAAACAAUUAAUGGUCAGUUGGAUUGAGUUUUUUUUCUUUUUAUAGAAAAAAAAUUAGUGAGAAUAAGCUAUUUACCCAUAGAAAGUUAGGCCUUAUGUUUGAAUUUUGUUUCUCUGGUGUACCUUGAAAUUUGGAUGGUGUUAAAUUUUCUUUUCUUUUCUGGUUUGGAUUCAAUGAUAAGAGUAAUGUCAUAAAAAGAUCGAGUAUCAAUGGAAGAAAAAAUCCAAAUAUCUACCCGAUUUCGGGAAGAAUAAUUUUCUAGGUUUGUUUGGGUUCUUUUAUUUUCAUUCUUUCUGGUUCUUUUUCUGGUUACAUUGGCCAUCUUUGUUUGGAUAAUCAUUAGAAUUACCAACCCAAUUAACGAAAUUCGUUUGAUUGAUUUUCGUUCGUAUAUCUUUACGAUUAGAGUUUCGAAAUGAUGAAAAAGGUAAAAUGGAGAUGAACCUGAGAUGGAAAAUGUCAGAAAAUUUCCGUCGAGAAGGAGUUAUUCAUCAAUUGAAGAAAUUGAUUUCUUGUGAUGGUUUAAUUAGCGAUUGAUCAAGUCCAAUCAAUACUCUAAUUGUUGGAUCUUCAUCAACUUCAUUAGCAAAUUCAACAGCAACAACUUCACCAAAUAAAACAGGGACAAUAAAACUUUAUAUUAAGAGGCAACUCAACCUUUAAUUUGACUGAUCAGUUGGACCGUUAAUCAAAUUGAGUCCAAAGGUAUAUUAAUCUAACCUUUAAUUUGAUAACCUAAUAACAUUGUAGUUAAUUAUGAUUAUCAUAUUUUUUGUUAUAAUAUAUAUAUUUUUCCAGCUAAA